rnacentral:lncRNA from 1 species
GCCAAUUUACCUGGUAAUGGAGUCGACAUCAUCACCAAUUGUGGAGUGUAAGCUCUGUUGUAAAUUUGUUCCGAUUAAAAAUGAGUUUGAAAGUUAAUGGCUCAAAUAAAAGUUGAAAUAAAUCAAACCUACAAAAUUACACAGUUUUGCCAAUUCUCAGCAUACGAUCAUCCAAAGACACAAUGGAGAAGGAUUCAAUUAAAUAAUUUAUGAACAAACUUAAAACAGGAUGACUGAAGAAAGACAAGUUUAAAAAUAGGUUUACAGCAGAAAUAGUAAUACCACUUGGCACUUGAGAACUGAGGUUCCAUGCCAAGAGGUUUACAUAACCAGUUGAAAUAGCUCAAUUUAUAUCGGAUAAAGUAGCUCGAUUCUCAAAAGAUUAACCUAUCGGGUGAAGUCAAUCGACUAUUGCUAGUGCUAAGAAUGAGAGAAAAUGACACAAACUGUGCUAUAGUGCUGGUGCUAGCUCGUUCCACGCCCCUAUCCCACAUAUUUCCUCGGGACCCCUAUUAGCUCUUGGGGUUCUGAGUAACAAGGAAGGAGAGCGGUAUUCAUAAUAUCUACCAGAAAGUAUAUAUAGAGACACCUAGCAGUAAAGUUAACAUACAAAUCUAGAAGUAUAGACAGUAACUCAACCUCAAAGUUACAGUCCCUGAUUGUCAGAUUCAUAUAUCAGAUGCUAAGGUAUCUGUUCCCAAACUACAGAAUUUGACUCUUACCCAGGUGGUUAUUAAACAACUUACUACUAUUGAAACCCGAGUUGCCAUUUUCUCGAACAACACUGAAAGAUGCCAUCAAAGUCAUUGGCUGUCAGGUUCACUUGUUCGUUGUCGACUCCAAUUAC